rnacentral:lncRNA from 10 species
GCGGGGUCUGCAACCAGGCUGCCUGCCAUAUGUUGUUUCUUGCAAUUAGCAGGUGCUUGGGGUGUGGGCUGGGCACCCAGAGGGCAAGGCGACUGCCUCUGCCAGGGAAACUCUCGUGAGCCAUACCAAGAGCUCAGGAAGAGAAACAAGGUGGCUGGGGGUUGAUGGGCAACCCCCAGGGCCAGUAAGAUGUGCUGGUCACGAAAGAAAUCUCUGUUUGCAGACAGUUUUAUUCCUGUACAGGUAUUUACAGCUUGCUACUGCAAAUUGAUGGAUCUUUAUUUCUGGAACUGUAGUCAUUCUUGCAGGUCCGUCGGUGCAGACAUUUUGGGAUAGUCCUUUGAUGUCUAUCAUCACACUAUGGAAGAGUGAGCAAAGCUUUCCCAGAAGUUCUGCAGCAGAAUUUCCAUCGUAUUUCAAUGACCAGAGCUGAGUCAUGUGCUUGUGCUUUGAAGAUUGCUUGGUAAGCCAGUGAGCCCACUGGCAUUGGCUUAGAGAAGUCAAGAUUCAUGGGUUGGGAAGGCACCCAAAGUUCACUGGCUUCAUGGAGCAUAAUGAAGAAGAUGCCAGCUGUCUUAGCAAGGAGGAAGGGGUACAUGGUGGUUGGGUGGGAAACCAAGUCUUCAUCACAGGAAUUUACCUUGGAGGGUAUUAUGCAUUGAAUGUUUGUGUCCCCUGCAAAUUCAUAUUUUGAAAUUCUAAAGCCCAAGGUGAUCGUAUCGGAGGUGGGGCCUUUGGGAAGUGAUUAGGUCAUAAGUGUAGAGCCCUCGUGAAUGGUAUUAGUGACCGAAUAAAAGGCACCCCAAAUAACUCUCUCACCCUCUUUUUUCUGGGUGGGGAGACAAUGAGAAAAUCACUGUCUGCAGCAUGGAAAAAGAUCCUCACCAGAACCAGAUCAUGUUGGCACCCGAAUCUUGGACUUCCAGCUUCCAGAACUGAGUGCAAAGAUGAGAAGAGGCUGCCACUCAGCUGCGAUAUAUGAGGACUGACACUGUACCUUCUCUUAAUCUCCUACCUUCUCUCCUCACCCUACUUGCCACUUUUUAAAAUUUUGCUUUAAUGUGAUCAAUAUUAUAAAAUCCAAUAAAGAAAAAGAUUUAAAAAUAGG